rnacentral:rRNA from 1 species
ACUACGGGUGGCAGCAGUGGGGGAUAUUGCACAAUGGGGGGAACCCUGAUGCAGCGACGCCGCGUGGGUGAAGAAGCGCCUCGGCGCGUAAAGCCCUGUCAGCAGGGAAGAAAAUGACGGUACCUGAAGAAGAAGCCCCGGCUAACUACGUGCCAGCAGCCGCGGUAAUACGUAGGGGGCAAGCGUUAUCCGGAUUUACUGGGUGUAAAGGGGGCGCAGGCGGCGAUGCAAGGCAGGAGUGAAAGCCCGGGGCCCAACCCCGGGACUGCUCUUGGAACUGCGUGGCUGGAGUGCAAGAGGGGCAGGCUGAAUUCCUGGUGUAGCGGUGAAAUGCGUAGAUAGCAGGAGGAACACCGGUGGCGAAGGCGGCCUGCUGGACUGCAACUGACGUUGAGGCCCGAAAGCGUGGGGAGCAAACAGGAUUAGAUACCCCUGUAGUC